AUUGAACGCUGGCGGCAGGCCUAAUACAUGCAAGUCGAACGAGUCGCGGACGGGUGAGUAAUGUCUGGGAAACUGUCCGCUGGAGGGGAGCAACUACUGGAAACGGUAGCUAAUACCGCAUCCCAUCGGAUGUUCUAAGAUGGCAUUAGCUGGUGGGGGGGGUAACGUCUCACCUAGGCGACGAUCCCUAGCUGUACUGAGAGGAUGACGAGCCACACUGGAACUGAGACACGGUCCAAAAUCCUACGGGAGACACCGUUGGGGAAUCUUGCGCAAUGGGCGGUAAGCAAAUGCAGGCAUUGCGCGUGUAUGAAGAGGGCCUUCGGGUUGUAAAGUACUUUCAGCGACGAGGCGUUACUCGCAGAAGAAGCACCGGCUAACUCCGUGCCAGCAGCCGCGGUAAUUC
rnacentral:rRNA from 1 species